CUUGUAUUAAUCAGGAACUUAUAUCCACUAUAGCAGAGCUAAGGUGUAGGUGGAUAAUGCAACUAAUCUGUGAUGCAGGUAGGCAAUGCAAUAAAUCUGUGAUGUAGGUAGUUAAUUUACAAACAAAAACAAGUUGUGAUGCAGGUAGAGAUGAUGUGGUAAAUGAAAUACGGCGCCGGAUAUAUUCCAUCCUUUGGUACGACUGAUUGUUUUUCGUUAGUGGUUCCUUGUUCGUAAGGAAGAAAUAAAAUGCAACAACUGAAUUCAGUUUUUGAUGUUUUCAUCCAAAGAAAUGAUUCCUAAUUCAUCUUUUUCUUUGUGCAGCUUAAAAUUAUGCAAGAAAUGACAUUCGUCAGGAACAUUGUUUUUCUCAUAUAUGGUUGAACACCAGAGUCAGAAUGGCCCCUUCUACUUGAAUUUCUGGUGCAUGUCCAUCGGCAAAUACAGAUAAAAAUGGCGUCAUAACUGCUUACGCUUCUUGGGUUAAAUUACAAGUUUUGAGCAACUUAUUGAUAGAGUACCCUGGAUUCAACAGAUAGAAGAUAAAUUAGAUGCUUGUUGUACACAUGUACUCUGGGAUCAUCUCGGAACCUAUUUAAUGUAUGCCUAAAGAGCAAGUAGAGCCGAAUGUAUGCUUGAAGAGCAAGUAGAGCCGAGUUUUGUUAUGAUAGGUUUGUUAAAAUUGCAGUGGACAAUCCAUAGUACACACUACUGCCAAUAAAUUCAUUAUUACGAAGCGUAUUAUUGUGUUUAAGUCGCCCUGACUCAAUUCUUUUCUCGUCUCCUCCGACAUCUCCCUUUUCAAUUUAAUCGUGCAUGGUGAGAAUAAUCUUUGUAAGUUAUGGUGGGAGAAAGAAAAAUGUAUAAACAGGUUGGUUGUUCUACAAAAUGUUUGAGCUUCUA